rnacentral:rRNA from 1 species
GACGAACGCUGGCGGCGUGCUUAACACAUGCAAGUCGAACGGAAAGGCCUGCUUUCCCUUGUGGAUUGCUGGUACUCGGGUGGCUAACUGGUGAGUAACACGUGAGUGAUCUGCCCCCAACUUGGGUAUAAGCCUGGGAAACUGUGUCUAAUUCCCUAUAGGACUGCAUGGUGGUGCCUGGGGUGGAAAACUUUUUUCUAGUUGUUGGGGAUGAGCUCGCGGCCUAUCAGCUUGUUGGUGGGGUAAUGGCCUACCAAGGCGGCGACGGGUAGCCGGCCUGGGAGGGUGGACGGUGAAAUUGGGACUGAGAUAAGGCCCAGACUCGUACGAGAGGCAGGAGUGCGGAAUAUAGCACCAUGGGCCGGAGGGUGCUGCAGCGAGGGAGCGUGGGAGAUGACGGGCUCCGGGUUGUCAACUACUUUGGAACGAGAGGAAGCUAACUGGUUGGGAGGGUGGUGACGGUAGUGGUAGAAGAAGCCACGGCUAACUACGUG